GUGGGGAAUCUUGCGCAAUGGGCGAAAGCCUGACGCAGCCAUGCCGCGUGGAUGAUGAAGGUCUUAGGAUUGUAAAAUCCUUUCACCGGUGAAGAUAAUGACUGUAGCCGGAGAAGAAGCCCCGGCUAACUUCGUGCCAGCAGCCGCGGUAAUACGAAGGGGGCUAGCGUUGCUCGGAAUUACUGGGCGUAAAGGGCGCGUAGGCGGACAGCUUAGUCAGAGGUGAAAGCCCAGGGCUCAACCUUGGAAUUGCCUUUGAUACUGGCUGUCUUGAGUUUGGGAGAGGUGAGUGGAACUCCGAGUGUAGAGGUGAAAUUCGUAGAUAUUCGGAAGAACACCAGUGGCGAAGGCGACUCACUGGCCCAAUACUGACGCUGAGGCGCGAAAGCGUGGGGAGCAAACAGGAUUAGAAACCCCGGUAGUCC
rnacentral:rRNA from 1 species